GGGGCACAGCUUGGUGUCCCCAUCAGUUAUGGGAUAUGGGGCACAGCAUGGUGUCCUAUAGGUCAUGGGAUAUGGGGCACAGCCUGGUGUCCUAUAGGUCAUGGGAUAUGGGGCACAGCAUGGUGUCCUAUAGGUCAUGGGAUAUGGGGCACAGCAUGGUGUCCUAUAGGUCAUAGGAUAUGGGGCACAGCAUGGUGUCCUAUAGGUCAUGGGAUAUGGGGCACAGCUUGGUGUCCUAUAGGUCAUAGGAUAUGGGGAUGUACAGAACGGCGUCCUAUGGGGAUGGGAGGUGUUUGACAUUCCAGUGUCCCCAUGGGGAAUGGGACACGAGGGACACGUAGCUUUGCGUCCCCACAGGUUAUGGGAUAUGGGGACACACAGAACGGCGUCCUAUGGGGCGCACCUCAAGGUCCCCAUAGGUUAUGGGACACCCAGCCCAGCAGGUCAGCGCUAUAUUUAAGAUGGCAGCGGGGGCCGAUGGGGGCUGCCGCUCUCCUCCCCCCCCCCCAUUGCGCCCUUCCUGACCUUGGGGGCACCGACGGCUCCGCAGUGCCGCCCCCCAGCGCUG